GUACUGAAACGUGCACCUGAAGGAGGAUUUAGCAGUAAGCAGGAAAUAGAGCGUCCCGCUGAAAUCGGCCCUGAAGCGCGCACACACCGCCCGUCACUCUCCCCGAAAACACCCACUCAGUUAAUUAAAACCUAAUAAUCAUAGAGGGGAGGCAAGUCGUAACAUGGUAAGUGUACCGGAAGGUGCACUUGGAAAAAUC
rnacentral:rRNA from 1 species